rnacentral:rRNA from 1 species
AAAACAUCGCCUCCUGCAACACAACCAAGUAUAGGAGGUCCAGCCUGCCCAGUGACUACAAGUUUAACGGCCGCGGUAUUUUGACCGUGCAAAGGUAGCGCAAUCACUUGUCUUUUAAAUAGAGACCUGUAUGAAUGGCUAAACGAGGGCUUAACUGUCUCCCCUUUCCAGUCAGUGAAAUUGAUCUGCCCGUGCAGAAGCGGACAUAAUAAUACAAGACGAGAAGACCCUUUGGAGCUUAAGGUACAAAACUCAACCACACAAAGCAACUCAAUAAAAAGAAAUAAACCUCGUGGAAAAUGAAGUUCUACCUUCGGUUGGGGCGACCACGGAGGAAAAAAGAGCCUCCAAGUGGACUGGGACAAACCUCCUAAAACCAAGAGAGACAUCUCUAAGCCACAGAACAUCUGACCAAACAUGAUCCGACCAAUAAGUCGAUCAACGAACCAAGUUACCCUAGGGAUAACAGCGCAAUCCUCUCCCAGAGUCCAUAUCGACGAGGGGGUUUACGACCUCGAUGUUGGAUCAGGACAUCCUAAUGGUGCAGCCGCUAUUAAGGGUUCGUUUGUUCAACGAUUAAAGUCCUACGUGA